rnacentral:rRNA from 1 species
GACGAACGCUGGCGGCAUGCCUAAUACAUGCAAGUCGAGCGAACAGAUGAAGUGCUUGCACUUCUGACGUUAGCGGCGAACGGGUGAGUAACACGUAAGGAAUCUACCUAUAAGCGGGGGAUAACAUUCGGAAACGGGUGCUAAUACCGCAUAAUAUCUUCUUCCGCAUGGAAGAAGAUUGAAAGACGGCUCUGCUGUCACUUAUAGAUGACCUUGCGGUGCAUUAGUUAGUUGGUGGGGUAACGGCCUACCAAGACGAUGAUGCAUAGCCGACCUGAGAGGGUGAUCGGCCACAUUGGGACUGAGACACGGCCCAAACUCCUACGGGAGGCAGCAGUAGGGAAUCUUCCGCAAUGGGCGAAAGCCUGACGGAGCAAUGCCGCGUGAGUGAAGAAGGCCUUCGGGUCGUAAAACUCUGUUAUAAGAGAAGAACAAAUUGUAGAGUAACUGCUACAGUCUUGACGGUAUCUUAUCAGAAAGCCACGGCUAACUACGU